rnacentral:rRNA from 1 species
CCCUUAGAUGUCCUGGGCCGCACGCGCGCUACACUGAACGGAUCAGCGCGUUUUCCCUUCCCGAGAGGGACGGGUAACCUGCUGAACCCCGUUCGUGGUAGGGAUCGGGGCUUGCAAUUAUUCCCCGUGAACCAGGAAUGCCCAGUAAGUGCAAGUCAUAAGCUUGCGUUGAUUACGUCCCUGCCCUUUGUACACACCGCCCGUCGCUACUACCGAUUGAACGUUUUAGUGAGGUACCCGGACUGAGCCUCAGAAGAUUCACGUCUUUUGUGCUGCUCGGGAAGAUUCCCAAACUUGAGCGUUUAGAGGAAGUAAAAGUCGUAACA